UACGUAGGGUGCAAGCGUUGUCCGGAAUUAUUGGGCGUAAAGAGCUCGUAGGCGGUUUGUCGCGUCUGCUGUGAAAACUCGGGGCUUAACUCCGGGCCUGCAGUGGGUACGGGCAGACUAGAGUGCGGUAGGGGAGACUGGAAUUCCUGGUGUAGCGGUGAAAUGCGCAGAUAUCAGGAGGAACACCAAUGGCGAAGGCAGCUCGCUGGGACGGUACUGACGCUGAGGCGCGAAAGCGUGGGGAGCAAACAGG
rnacentral:rRNA from 1 species